GGAAGAGAAAAAAAAUGUAGGAUGGAGUGGGGACAGCUUCAUUGGAGGCUGGUGUCUCUGGGUUAGCAGGGCAACUAAGGUCAAAGAGCACCUGGCCCUGGUCCCACCCCUGAAGGACUCAGUCCGAGGCCUCCUCUCACUCUUCCAAUACCCAAGCCAGAGCAGAGGCCUCCUGUCCUGUUAGGUCCACGGAACAUGGACGAUCAGCUGGAGACGGCCAUGGGAAGGGACCUAGCCUCUUCAGAGAGAUGAGGAGAAACAUUCUGGUACUUGGGGUGGGAACUGUGUGCAGCAAUGGUGACAGUCCGUAUUGCAUGUGAUGCAUGGGUCUGGGCUGCCACGCUAAGGCUCAUGGCUCUAUGAAGAGAGGAAGAAACCCUGAAUCUGCCCACUAGGACUGUCCCGCUGCAUUAAUGGUGCAUCAAGAAGGUCCUGCCAAAAGCAAAUCUGGAGCCUUCCCAAUCUGCCAAUGGGUGCUAUAUAAAUAUCUAUCUUGACAGGGUUUCCACGGAUACUCCAGGCACAACUGGCCCUCACUUCCUGCAGCACACAUCUAGACUCUCCUUCAAGCUUCCCCUGCCAAGCCCUGGUCCUGACAGAUUCUCUCUGCCAGCCUGGUGCAGCCGCGGAUCUCCACGGUGAGCUUUCGUCAUCACCGAGAAUAACCACCAUAGGCUCACUGGAUGACGGGAGUGUCCUUAGCCUUCGGGCAGAAGACACUGACUACUCAGAUACCUGCUGCUUCUGCCUUGUGGGGAGGGAGGAAGGAGGCCAGGCUGUGACAAGGCCUCCCUGCCAGGACACCCACAGCUUCCUUUUGCUCCCUUACCCACAGCUGCCCUGGCCAUUCCCAGGAUAGUCCAUAUGUAACUGUGGGUCUUCAUUUACCUCAGUAGCCAGACAUAAGGAGGCUGAUGGCGGAGGUUCUUGCUAAAGGCACCUGUAUGACAGGAGAGCUCAGGUCCCUACCUCAUGUGCCCUGUUUUAUAGGCUACAGGACCCCAGAGGCUGUCAGGAAGAAAGACUGGCAUUUGGGGUGAUCUUAUACUCGGGUAAAAUGUCUGCCCUCUGAGUUUCCUGUCUCUGGUCACUCUGUGCUGGCGGCCCAGUGGUCAAGCCCUUGUCCAGUGCAUAGGUCCUGGGACUGGCACCUAGUGCCACAAAAGAAAUGAAAGGAAAAGAGAAAGGCCAGCUGUCCUUCAUGCUUCCCUUGAGCCCCUCCCCCACUUAAUCAGCUGCACACAGAGCCUCUUAGCACUGGCAUCCUAUGGAUGUGAGUCAGGAGGGAGGAUAAGUGACCCCCAGACCUUCCAUUCUGAUGGCCCGCUGAAGCCCAGGCUGGGAGUGUCCUCUCCCUAGUUGUGCAGAAGCUCUUCAGUGGGGCAGAUAGAGGCUUUCAGUAAGUCUCGAUUCCCAGUGUCUGUGGAGAAUCUUUCUAGGGCGAGGAGACAGGGCUCAGGACAGCACGAACCUGGGGAUCGUUAAUUAGCUCCCAGGAUCACAUUCAAGCUGAUUUACCCUGGACAGAGGGUCUCCUGCCUACUAUAGCCCUGUCCUCUUUCCAUCCCUUCUCCUAGUUCCUCUUUUCUCCCCCACUGCACCCAAAGGCAGCUUCCAGGGAUCCAGGACUGCUAAGUCUCUUCCCUCACAAGAAAUGUCUCCAAUCCCAUGAGGUGCCAGGACCAAGCAGGACAGCCUCAUUCCAUGUGCCCAGCGUGCUGCUCUCUGGGCUCUGGAGACAUUCUUUGGAUAUUGAGGCACUAGCUUCUGAGGACAUAGCCCCAUUUGAGGAAAAGUGUGGAUUAAAAUUUUAAUAAUAAAAUCAUCAUCGUCAUCAUCAUCUUAAAGCUCUGGUUUUACAGGCACAGAGAUAAUCUCCUCUCCCCCCACCUGUGGUCUGGCCUUUGACCUUGAGAUAACAGGACUCAAAGAGCUAAAUAUGGGGUUGUACAGCUUGUCCCUCCAUGCCCCACACUGUGCCCUGGCCACCCAAACACACAGGCCAGUCUGUCUUCCUUCUCCACCCUUCACAGACUGUGCAGAGGCUGGGGAGGCCCAGGGGAGGCGGGCCUGUCUCCCACCUGCUCAGCCUGAUUCACUGAAUCCUCAACAAGGCACCCCCAUUCCCACAUGGCCUUGGCAUGGACACAUGCUCAGAGACACAGUGUGUGGCACAACUCCUGGGCACCUUGAAGCCCCAAGUCAGUCAACAUUUGUGCAAUCUGGUUUUGGCAGCAGUAACUACCCAGGGCCAACCCCAGGGUGCACAGGACACAUGAACCAGUGAGCUCUGGGUUGUCUCCCCGCCUUUCUCUACACCCUUCAUUCCCUCCAUUUCCAAAGGAGUGAGGCCCCACAACAGCCACCUGCCCUAGGAGCCUGCUGGCCAGGUCUCAGGCAGACUGGCACUUCAGCAGAGCCUUGAGGACCUUGGUGAUCUCCCCUGAUCAUCUUUCUCUGCAAGAGCAGCUGGGAGUUGGAGCAGAAGGAACUUCAAGCAAGACUGGACUCCAGGGGCCAACUGAGAUGGGAUCCUACAUGUAUGUCCUUGGGACUUGGCCCCCCCAGUCCAGCUUCUCAGAGGAAGAUAGCAGAGGACACCACAGUGAGAUGCAGAACCAUGAAAAUGUCCACAAAAGCUGUGGGGCAGCCAUGAUGGAGACCCACUGACCAGGGCUCAGAGAGAACUGGAGCAUUAAUACACAACUGAACAGAGUCAGGGUGGGGCCACAGAACCUGGCUGCAGUUUCAGCUGAAAGAGAUAAAUGUGGAUUUCAACCCCCAGCUAUAUAAGCAGAGCCCAUCCUGAAGAUUAACUAAAGAACAGUUCAAUUGACCAGUAAUAUGGCAAGAAAUGUCACCCAAGGUAGCUGCCACAUCAGGGAUUGGGAUGUUGAAAAGACCUUUGGUUCAGAGGCAAUUGCAGCCAAUGGAGAUGUGAUUAUUAUUAUUCUUACUUUCUUUUUUCAUAGAUGUAAACUGUCCACUGUUGUAUGAUGUUUUACUUUUGGCUUUUUGGGGGUGCACACCACCCACCUCCCAAAUAAA